rnacentral:rRNA from 1 species
GACGAACGCUGGCGGCGUGCUUAACACAUGCAAGUCGUACGGUAAGGCCCUUUCGGGGGUACACGAGUGGCGAACGGGUGCGUAACACGUGAGUAACCUUCCCACAACUUUGGGAUAACGCUAGGAAACUGGUGCUAAUACUGGAUAUGUGCUCCUGCUGCAUGGUGGGGGUUGGAAAGCUCCGGCGGUUGUGGCUGGCCUUGCGGCCUAUCAGCUUGUUGGUGGGGUAGUGGCCUACCAAGGCGGCGACGGGUAGCCGGCCUGCGAGGGUGACCGGCCACAUUGGGACUGAGAUACGGCCCAGACUCCUACGGGAGGCAGCAGUGGGGAAUAUUGCACAAUGGGCGCAAGCCUGAUGCAGCAACGCCGCGUGCGGGAUGACGGCCUUCGGGUUGUAAACCGCUUUCAGCAGGGACGAAGCUUUUUGUGACGGUACCUGCAGAAGAAGCACCGGCUAACUACGUG